UACGUAGGGUGCAAGCGUUGUCCGGAAUUAUUGGGCGUAAAGAGCUCGUAGGCGGUCUGUCGCGUCUGCUGUGAAAACUCGGGGCUUAACUCCGGGCCUGCAGUGGGUACGGGCAGACUAGAGUGCGGUAGGGGAGACUGGAAUUCCUGGUGUAGCGGUGAAAUGCGCAGAUAUCAGGAGGAACACCGGUGGCGAAGGCGGCUUUCUGGGUCUUACCUGACGCUGAGGAACGAAAGCCAGGGGAGCGAACGGG
rnacentral:rRNA from 1 species